GCGCCCGUGGUUCAACGGAUAGAACAUAGCCCUCCGAAGGCUGAGAUCGAGGUUCAAUUCCUCGCGGGCGCA
rnacentral:tRNA from 1 species